AUGCAAUCUGGCUUCAUCAGAGGGAGAGCCAUCACUGAAAACUUCGCGCUCGCUUCGGAGCUGGUACAAUGUGCGCAGAAGAGGAAGAUACCUAUGAUCGUGCUCAAGCUGGAUUUCAGAAAAGCGUUCGAUAGCGUAAACUGGGCCUGUCUUAUGAAUCUGCUGCAACACACAGGCUUUGGCGCUCGUUGGGUUUCUUGGGUCUCCUCCAUUCUUCACUCCGGCGGAGCAAAGGUUAUGAUGAAUGGUUGUCUAGGGGAUGAUAUUAUUUUCAACUGUGGUGUUCGACAGGGCGACCCGCUGUCUCCGUAUCUCUUCAUUCUGGUUGCGGAUAUACUACAGCGCAUG
rnacentral:rRNA from 1 species